CCAGGGCAGGCCGCGAGGAGGCUUGCUCGCCAUCGGGGAGCUGAAAAGGAGCGGGGUAUGAUCAGGGUGGCGCACCUACCAGGCUCAGGUUCACAUGCCACUUCACCCACCAGCUGCAUGACUGUGGCUGAGCUCCUUGACCUCUCAGACCUCAGUUUUCUCCUCUGUAUCUCGUACCCGCCUCAAAGGGCUUCAUUCUACAUUCUGUCCGGUUUACAUACUUUUAUUCUACUGAGGUCACGUUUAUUCGGUGCUUUACACAGAUUUGCUCCCAUUACUCAUGGGAAGCCUAGAUAGCUGGUACUAUAUAAUUUUUUAAACUUUUCUUUAAUGUUUAUUUAUCUUAGAGAGACAGGGGGACAGAGGAUCCAAAGCAGGCUCCGUGCCUUCUUUGCAGAGCCUUACAUGGGGCUCCAUCCCAUGAGCCGUGAGAUCAUGACCUAAGCUGAAGUCUGACACUGAACCAACUGAGCCACCAGGGUCCAGCCUACAAAAGCAGAGAGUGUGAGGACAUGAGCCUGUACACACCCACGGCUCAGGAUUACCAACUCGUGGCCACUCAUGCUUCACCUGCACCCAGCCCGCCCUCUCUCCACGGGGAUGAUUUUGAAGCAAAUUCCAAGGCCCAGGUCAUGUCCCUAAAUAUCUCAGUAUGCUUCUCCAUUGCUUCUAGGAUGUGCUAUAAUGCUACAGUGUGCUUCUAAAAAUAAAACCACGGUGUCAUUGUCAGCCUUUGAAACGAGUGAUGAUAAUCCCUUAAUAGCACAAAAUAGCCAGUCACUGGCCAAAUUCCCUUGAUAAUCUCAUGAAUGUUUUCCUACAGUUGGCUUGUUCACAUUUCGGCUUCCUAAAAAGUUAAACAAACAAACAAAAAACCCAUAAAGGUGUUUUUUGUUUUAAAUGACUCAUUGCAGGAAAGAAACAACGUUGACUUUUCCACUGUUGUCCAUGUAUUUAAGGGAUGCAUGGCCUCUUCCAGCGGAACCAGGUCUGGGUCUCUGACCCUGAGCUGGGAGGCAGGCGCCCAGGGGCACCUUCUCCUGGGACAGUAAAGAGCGCAGGUCCAGCGUUUGUCUUUGCAAAGGGUACGUGAAGCCAGAUAUGGGAGGUGACAGGAGAGAGCACCCUUGCCCCACAGCUCCCCGGCAGUCACCAGUGAGAAGUGAGCGGGAAGGUAACCCGCUGUGUGAAGAAAGGUGCAGCAGGGCUCGGGCUAGAUGCAGGGGAAGGUCUGGGGCAAUGUCGACUCUGUCUCCCUGACUCAGGCCUUCUCCCUCACCCUCCUUCCUGGGUCUGCCUAGCCGAGGCCACAGCUACGGGUUCUGACAUCAACAGCCUUCAGGUUGCAAGCCCUCAGGCAGUGUUUCUGGAAGAUACCAUCACUCCCUAUCAAUCAUAACACCACUGAAGACCUGCUUUGUAUCAGGCUGAGCACGUGUCUUGUGACCUCAUUCAGUCCUUGAAAUGAGCCAAGAGGCUGGAUGGAUCAAUCCUCCCGUUUCAUAGGGGAGGAAGCCAAGUCGCAGGUUGAGCAACUUGCCCAAAGUUGCACAAUUGCUGGUGCGGCUGUGAAAGCCCCAGGACCUGGCUGGCUCCAGAGUCCACGUUCUGAGGCCUCUGCUAGGAAGACCAAGCCCCAGACUCAAGGCCAGACGUCCAGUGCAGGCAUCAGUGGAGCUCCUGCAGAGUCGGCCUUCAUAGGCAGCCCAAACCCAGCUCUCUGGAGCAUGGGGGUCAAGGUGGAGCUGACCGUGGGGUCAGCGUGGGCCCGGCCAUGAGGGCCAUAAGUGUUACCAGUGAGGAGUUGGGAUCUUGUCUUGAGGGCACUGACUCUCCACACUCAAAGUGUGCUCAAAAGUUGCCUAAGUGACUGGUUAAAAUGCAGAUUCUGGCCUCAGCCAGAAGCUAAUUCACUAUAUCAGUGGUGGGACCAAGAGUUUAUGAAUUCAGAUUCCCCAUUCUGUAGACUCCGUGUCUGUAUUCUAAACAAGAUUUACACAGUGAUCGGCCUUGUGUGUUAAAAAUGGCAGCAUUCUUAGCCCACACUAUCCAGUAUGAUAGCCACUGGCCCCAUCAAUUAAAUUAAAAUUAAUUAAAAUUACCAUUAAAGAAUUCAGUUCCUUAGUCACACUAGCCACAUUUCAAGUGCUCAGGAGCUAAAUGGGGCCGGUGGCUGUCAUACCGGAUGGCACUGACACAGAACAUUGCCAGCACUGUGAGAAGUUCUAUUGGACAGCCUGUUCCGAACCCUGGCAACAUCGAUGUGGGUGGAAGAUGAACAGAAAAGGGGCAAGUGGGGAGUCAGAGAGAGUAGUCCAAACCAGAAUAAUGUGCCAUAUAUAGAACUCAAUAAAAAUGAAAUGAUGUUACUAAAUUUUAGCUGAAUACUGUUUCAAAAAGCUCUGAGUUUGAGAUCUGCUGUUUUUCUGCCAGAGAAUUAACCCAGUAUUAAAAGGGUGUUAAAGACACACAAGUACCAAACGGAGAUUUGCUCCCAGAAGGGUUGGAAGAGAAUGGAGGAGUGACUUCUCACCCUGCCACUCCGUGUUCUUUACUGUCUUUCUACUGCCCUGUCCACCAUCUUGUGCCCUGCCCCUUAAAUUUUGAAAUGGGUCUGGUUUGACUUUGCACCCCCCAGCACUUCACAGAAAGGAAACUGAGGCGUGGAGAAUUGAAGUAACCUGCCCCACAUCCCACAGCCCGUUAAUCGCAGAGCCAAUACCCAGAGUUGUCAGGGUGGCCAAUGCUCCCCUUAACACAUAGG